rnacentral:tRNA from 1 species
GCUCUGGUGGCGGAAUUGGUAGACGCGCAUGCUUCAGGUGCAUGUUGGCCCAGCCAGUGGAGGUUCAAGUCCUCUUCAGAGCACCA